UAUUUUGAUAUAUUCUAAUAUAUCUUAUCUUGUGAAUGUGGUCUCGUUGUUUGAGAGGAAUGGUCGGGUUUAUCAUCAAAGAUGAUCAUCUUUGCUGAUUCAAAAGGAUUAAUUGGUGCGAUCUUUUCUCUUGUGCCAUGUGUGAGAUUAAUGGUGUAGCUAUGCUUGCUGGAUGGUGAUGAAGAGGUCAAGCUUCUGAUAUGCUGUUGAAGGCUGCUCCUACUUAUGUUUUGGAGCUUUUUUCUUGUGAUUGUUUAGGGUAAAGUUACGUUGAAUGUAACUUACGUUCUUACACGGGAUCAGUUACUUCUACUUUUAUUGCUUUGAAACAUGUAAACUUUUGUAUAGAAAGUUUUUGACGGAAAUCCAAAUUAAACACACAUGCAUUCAGCC
rnacentral:lncRNA from 1 species